GCCGGCAUUUUUGGCCACGGCUCAUGGGAGCCUGGGGUCCGCUUGGCAACUAAUCCCAGGAAUUGGCGUAGGCACUAGAUUUUACGAAAGCGACUGCCAUCUGACCUUCCAACCCAGAGGGGUAAACUAGGCCAUUAUUGGGAUUCGUCCGGUUUCCUCACGAUGUUUUCCUUCACCGAAAAACGACUGCAUAUUUGCGUCCACUGCUGAACAUAUGCCUCUUUCAUGGAUUUCCAUGUUGUUCUGUACGCGGCGGUUCUAUGCCAGGUCGGCCCUGCCGUCUUUCUAAUGUCGUCCGACCAUCUGGCUCGUGGUUUUCCGUCACUCCGGCUUCCCAGUCGAGGUCUCCAGAGCAGUACUCGCUGGCCCCAUCGGUCGUCAUCCCUAC